rnacentral:tRNA from 1 species
UGGGAAUUAGAGCAGUUAGGUUCAGCUCGCCACCGCUCUUUAAGGUGGAGGUCACUGGUUCGAAUCCAGUAUUCCCAA